GAUGAACGCUAGCGGCAGGCUUAAUACAUGCAAGUCGAGGGGUAGCAAGAUUGUAGCAAUACAAUUGUUGACGACCGGCAAACGGGUGCGGAACACGUACACAACCUUCCUACAAGUGGGGAAUAGCCCAGAGAAAUUUGGAUUAAUACCCCGUAACAUAGCGAUGUGGCAUCACAUUGCUAUUAUAGCUUCGGCGCUUGUUGAUGGGUGUGCGGCUGAUUAGGUAGUUGGCGGGGUAACGGCCCACCAAGUCUACGAUCAGUAGCUGAUGUGAGAGCAUGAUCAGCCACACGGGCACUGAGACACGGGCCCGACUCCUACGGGAGGCAGCAGUAAGGAAUAUUGGACAAUGGACGCAAGUCUGAUCCAGCCAUGCCGCGUGAAGGAUUAAGGUCCUCUGGAUUGUAAACUUCUUUUAUAAGGGACGAAAAAAGGUCUUUCUAGAUCGUCUGACGGUACCUUAUGAAUAAGCACCGGCUAACUCCGUGCCAGCAGCCGCGGUAAAAC
rnacentral:rRNA from 1 species